UGUAAGUUCCCUUUUAUUCCUGCAUGAGCGAAAGAUGACAUCAUGUGACCGCGAGCCUGCACGCAGUAACGCUUAACGUCAUUCACGCUACACCAAGUUGUACGCGCAAACCAAACGAGCUUAUCUCCUUGUAAGUUAAGGGUAUCCAGACGAUAGCUACCUUAUUGUCGUACUGCUACUAUUUGAAACGUAUAUAGAACACAAAAAGUUUGAUCAUGUGAGGUGUGCGGGGUGCUAAAGAUGGCAACCGCUAGAUGGCAGCACAGUCACAGCAGAUUGCACCUGUCAGGAAUGGACAAAGAAACACAGACGUCCAGAUAAAUGGAACUGAUGGGUGAAUUAGCAACAACAUGAAAAAGGUAUACCACCAAGAUUUCCAACAUUCGACACACGGAGGGGCCUGAAUUCUACCCCAGGCAGCUUGGGGGUUCCAGUCCAACACAGAAUAUGUGAACAAGGGCCACUUUAGAGAUGCCAUUUAAAGAAACUGCAUGUGUUUGUACUGUGGGAGAAACCCGGAGUAUCUGGAAGAAACCCCCCGAAAACAUGGGGAGAACAUGCAAACGUAUGGAGGGGGGAUGGGAUUCAAACCCACAACCCUGAUGCAGCUAAAUAUACACAUGCACAAAUAUUACAUGUUAGCAUUUAUACAGAUAAAAUGUAUAACUUUAGCUUCCAAUAGGGAUUCCUAUAAGGAAAUAUCUUUCUCUAUGUAUUUAGUUUGAAAAUUAGGAUUUAAGUCUAUAACCGUAAAAGGAAUUAAUUUUUUAAAUGAAAAGCAUUUUUUGGUUAAGUUUAAUUAUUAGUUGAGAGUUCAAUAGAGGAGCUGAAAGAUGCAUUUGCAUGGAUAUUACUCAAUUUCAUAUCCUUAAAUUAUAAGUACACCUUAGUGCUGGGAUUUUGACAUAGCAAAGCAAUAAAUCCACUGUGUUAAAUAGAUCAGCAGCUCUUUCUGCAUCCCUUUUUUCAUGCCGAUUAGUCUUUCUCCAUGGUCCUCCCAUUGGAACUGUAGGAAGCGACUGAGGCCUAGUAACUGAGGAAGCCUUUAUUGACCCUGUUCAGUCAGCUAGCAUUUAUUAAGGUGAGUAAGUGCCUUAGUGCUGACUGCACUUGUACGCCCUGCUUAUGCAGAAAAGCUACUAGAAUUACAUGAAUAGCUGUGAUACUCCUGGGCAGAAUGCAUGUAAUAAUAACUGUUAUUUUUGUAGAGCUUAUUACUAUUACUAUUAUUGACUGCAAAACUAUAGUUACUGGCAUCGCAUGUUGGCUAACAAACUAGAACAUUU